UUGAAUGUGAAUUGAUUAUGUUAGGAUACACUUUAACAUAAGUGAUUCUUAUUUGUUGAUGUUAUUUGGAUAA
rnacentral:pre_miRNA from 1 species